UCUCCGGUCGCUGCCGGGCGUCUCCGGCGCCUCCACUACGCCGGCGCCCCGGACUCCUCUUCUGGUUUACGGUUUACCGCCGCCGCGAUUCGCUAUCGCACCCCUCCCACAACCCCGCGAAACCCUAGCCCCAUUGUUCGGCGCCGGCGCCGGCGCGGCGCCCGUUCACCCGCGCCUCCGGCUGCGCCUCCACGUCGAUCUCGGUCGACCACGCUGCCUCAGCGACCUCUUGGACCCCGCGCCCAGGUCCUUCUCAGCACCAUCAACCGCGAGCUGCUGAUGCCGUCGACCUUGGUCGCUCUGCACCCCACUCCAACGCGCUCGUCGACGUGCUGCCUCCCGUGGCGCUCUUCAGCAUCUCGCUGCUCGGGCCGUCGGUGAAACUAACGUUUUAUUAUACUCGGGCUCAUGAUAUCCAAUUUGGAGACCUUGCUCUCCACUGCUGUUGCAAUAAUGCAAGUGAGAAAGAAGGAACAAAGACGUGCCUCAACUCUUAGCAUGCCAGAAGUUGUCCACUUGGUUGAUAUGAGAUCAUGCUUACCAAAAGCAAAAUUCCUGUUCCUGAUAUAUUGUGAGUAUCCUUUGUGGGUUAAUUAAUCUUACUCUGAAAAAAGGAGGCACGUUGAUUUCCUUCUGUGGGAUAGUGAUUACUUAUGUCAUUUUGAGUAUCUAAAUCUUUGUAUUCACAUUUUUUUUUCAUUUUCCAUGUUCUGCUCUUUUAAUGCUGACUAUCUUCGUUUGCAUGAUCUCAUAUAUACUCUUGCUCAACGUGAUGUACAUUGUAUCUCUGGAGAAAUACCUUACAACACUGGUUUCCUUCAAGUAGC